GACCUAGACCCAGUCAAUGUUUUCCCAAAUUAGAAAUGGUUGGGACCUGAGAGGUAAACCCUCUAACUCUCUUAUUUUACAGUUGAGAAAAUGGAGAUGAGAGAAAAUAGGCUUUCUUCUCUUUUCUGGCUCAUGUCAAAUGCUUAUUGCCCAGUGCCCUCCAAGUUCACAAAUCAUUGACAACACAGCAGAACUGUGAAGAAAACUGCUGAGCCAUGGACAUGAAUUCAGAACACUCAAGCUUGAACCCACUUCUAUGCGUACUGAAGCUGCAAUACUACAGGAAUGGCCCAGAAGGAAGGAGCCCAGAGCAACAGAACCCUGUAUGGAGGAGAGGCUUCAGCAGUGCUGGUGGUGAAUGGUUAUGACCUGGAGUGAGAAGAUCCAUAGAGGAGUCAUCAUUAUGCUUUUUUUUUUUAACAGAAGCAAUGUGAGAGCAUGUGAUUCCCCAGGGAAAGUGUGCGUGUGUGUG